CUUAUCCAGAGUGACGUAAGGGAACAGGCCCAUCGACGUCCGGCAACCUGCCGCAAGGUAAGGUGCCAAUUCCUGCGGUGCAAACCGAAAGAUAAG
rnacentral:ncRNA from 1 species